rnacentral:rRNA from 1 species
AUUGAACGCUGGCGGCAUGCUUUACACAUGCAAGUCGAGCGGCAGCGCGGGGGCAACCCUGGCGGCGAGCGGCGAACGGGUGAGUAAUGCAUCGGAACGUACCCUGGAGUGGGGGGAUAACGCCGCGAAAGCGGCGCUAAUACCGCAUAUGCUCUGAGGAGGAAAGUGGGGGGACCGCAAGGCCUCACGCUCUGGGAGCGGCCGAUGUCCGAUUAGCUAGUUGGUGAGGUAAAGGCUUACCAAGGCGACGAUCGGUAGCUGGUCUGAGAGGAUGAUCCGCCACACUGGAACUGAGACACGGUCCAGACUCCUACGGGAGGCAGCAGUGGGGAAUUUUGGACAAUGGGGGCAACCCUGAUCCAGCCAUGCCGCGUGAGUGAAGAAGGCCUCGGUGUAAG